CCUACGGGAGGCUGCAGUAGGGAAUCUUCGGCAAUGGACGAAAGUCUGACCGAGCAACGCCGCGUGAGUGAAGAAGGUUUUCGGAUCGUAAAACUCUGUUGUUAGAGAAGAACAAGGACGUUAGUAACUGAACGUCCCCUGACGGUAUCUAACCAGAAAGCCACGGCUAACUACGUGCCAGCAGCCGCGGUAAUACGUAGGUGGCAAGCGUUGUCCGGAUUUAUUGGGCGUAAAGCGAGCGCAGGCGGUUUCUUAAGUCUGAUGUGAAAGCCCCCGGCUCAACCGGGGAGGGUCAUUGGAAACUGGGAGACUUGAGUGCAGAAGAGGAGAGUGGAAUUCCAUGUGUAGCGGUGAAAUGCGUAGAUAUAUGGAGGAACACCAGUGGCGAAGGCGGCUCUCUGGUCUGUAACUGACGCUGAGGCUCGAAAGCGUGGGGAGCAAACAGGAUUAGAUACCCGAGUAGUC
rnacentral:rRNA from 1 species